GCCGGCGUAGCUCAGUUGGUAGAGCAGUGGUUUUGUAAACCUCAGGUCGGGGGUUCGACUCCCUCCGCCGGCACCA
rnacentral:tRNA from 1 species